rnacentral:pre_miRNA from 1 species
CAACAAUUGUCACCCAUAGCUGCUUCUCAUCAUUAUCACCAAUCAAAGAUGAUUAGUGAUAAUGAUGAGAAGAAGAUGGUAAAAGAUUUAUACGUCAU